AUGGAUUUCACAUGGAAAACAGCGAGAAAAAUGUGCAGCCACAAGGGUGUCUCUUUUGGUGGAAGUACCUGCCCCUGUUUGGUGGUAAUUUCAUUUGAGUGUAUUCUCAAAAUCACAAGGGGAUGUAUUAAAACAGAAGAACAGAUGAGAACAAAGCUGUA
rnacentral:lncRNA from 1 species